CCUACGGGAGGCAGCAGUGGGGAAUUUUGCACAAUGGGCGAAAGCCUGAUGCAGCAACGCCGCGUGUGUGAUGAAGGUCUUCGGAUUGUAAAGCACUUUCGACCGGGACGCGGUACCGGGAGAAGAAGCACCGGCUAACUCUGUGCCAGCAGCCGCGGUAAUACAGAGGGUGCAAGCGUUGUUCGGAAUUAUUGGGCGUAAAGCGCGUGUAGGCGGCUUUGCAAGUCGGGUGUGAAAUCCCUCAGCUUAACUGAGGAAGUGCGCCCGAAACUGCAGAGCUUGAGUACCGGAGAGGGUGGCGGAAUUCCCCAAGUAGAGGUGAAAUUCGUAGAUAUGGGGAGGAACACCGGGGCGAAGGCGGCCACCUGGACGAACUGACGCUGAGACGCGAAAGCGUGGGGAGCAAACAGGAUUAGAUACCCUUGUAGUC
rnacentral:rRNA from 1 species